GGGAAAUCUUAUACAAUAUAAAUUAGCUGACCGUUCUGCUGGAUGACGUGUGUAUUUCGAGAGGUUGUAUGGUACGAGAGCCUGUGUAACCCCAUAUGAGUGCUAUAGAGUAUAGAUUAUACAACCGUAUUGUACAGCCCAUGUAACCUAAGGUCGCUUUGACAAGUGAACAAUCAUUACCUCUUCAGAGAGGUCGUCUUACGACCUCUCACAAGGAGGCGUCCCUUAUUUUAAAUAUGAAUAGACGAGGUCUCUCACAUGGGUAACAAGCUCAUUAAUACCAGAGAUACGUUGCGUCAACCUAAUGAGGGCCCUAGGUGCUCUUCCUUGAUGACAAGAUGUUUUAGCUGGCUAAGUAAAUAUAAACAGACAUCCGCUAUUAAU
rnacentral:misc_RNA from 1 species